rnacentral:rRNA from 1 species
CGGCGGACGGGUGAGUAACACGUGGAUAACCUACCUAUAAGACUGGGAUAACUUCGGGAAACCGGAGCUAAUACCGGAUAAUAUAUUGAACCGCAUGGUUCAAUAGUGAAAGACGGUUUUGCUGUCACUUAUAGAUGGAUCCGCGCCGCAUUAGCUAGUUGGUAAGGUAACGGCUUACAAGGCAACGAUGCGUAGCCGACCUGAGAGGGUGAUCGGCCACACUGGAACUGAGACACGGUCCAG